AGCUGGUAGCGCAGUGGUUAAAGUUGUUGUUUUUGAACCAAAUGGUUACAGCUUCAAAUGCUGCCUUUAGCUG
rnacentral:tRNA from 1 species